GGGAGGUGUGAUCCCAUGCUCCCUGGGAGGUGUGAUCCCGUGCUCCCUGGGAGGUGUGAUCCCGUGCUCCCU
rnacentral:pre_miRNA from 1 species